CACAAUACUGUUAGACCUAACCUCUUGACACUUUACUGAAUAACCGGGUUACUUGUAACACCAAAGGGAAGUAGGAGCUUGCCUGGGGGAUUGGAACACUGAAGCUGUUGGUUCCUUAUACCAAGGCACAACUUAACACAUGUACAUACAAAUACUCAAGUACAGGAGGCUUCUCUUUGGCCAAUGUACAUAUUUUCUCAUUCUAUAGAGAAGGAGGAUGGCCUUCUUUUUAAUUAAAGACCAUAGAUGCCAAGGGCAGCAAAAUGCAAUUUUCCUGUGUGAGAUCCCACUUAAACAGUGGAAAAAAUUCUAAGUCAAGUUCAAUCACAAUUCUCUGAAGAGAAACAGUAUCAAGUGACCCCUUUGUGCCUAAAGAAGGAAAGGUUCAGUCCCACACUAGGUUCCUUACUCAGCAUAGAACCUUCUACUCCCUUUUAAUCCUUUCUGGGAUUUUAUUCAUGACUAAUUUUUUUUUCACUCUCUAAUAACAAAGCACAGUCUUAGGAACUGUCUACUCAGUGACUUGUAGCUUGUCUUUGAUACUGACUGGACCUAUAUUUUAUUUUAGCUCAUUUUUCCCUGGAUACAAAGUUGGCUGAAUGAAAACCUCAGCAGAGUAUGUUCUGUGUGCCUACUACCCCCGCCUGAGGCCGAAAGGCAUCAGAGAUUUCUCUUUAAAAUAGAUGUGACAGCAUCUGGACCCCUUCCAGCACAAGUGAGCAGGGCAUUUUGGGGUUCCUUGAGUCCUCACUGUCUCCACUUGGGGUUCAUGAAAGGGAGAGAGAUCCAGAUGUGAUUUGGACCACAAGCCUGUCAGACUGUAAAGCCACAGAAGGGGUGUCCAAGAGGGAACUCAGAGAAGUUCCAGUCACCACUGAGAUCUGACCCUCUGAUGUGUCAAUAUCAGGACCACAGGGCCCACAGCAAACCAUAAGACUCUACAAAUUCAGAAUUAGGAGGUCAAAUUCUGACUGUCAGUGCCUCAGGAUAUAACAUCCCUAUCUCCAUUGCCCGUCUCUUGAGGCCUAGUUCCAACAGAAAGACUUCUCUGUCCUUCCAGUCCUCUCUUAAUUCAGCCAGCAUUUGAGUAUCUACCAUGAGCCAAUCUUUGAGCUGGGACCACUGCAGCGUACCAGGCAGACUCUCCUGCCCUUCUAAAACUGUACCUCCUCUUCCCAAACACUGUCCCUUCCCCACUCUUCCACAAUGAAAACUGAUUUCAGACAGCAUUCACUCUCUGCCAGAUUAACCCAGGAAGAUGCACACGGCAGCAGGCAGGUCCCUUGCCUGAAGGAGUGGACAGCACCAUAGCACAUUAUAUGUACCCUUCCUGUACAGCCAGCCCUUCCAGAUUGAGCUGGUUAGAGCUUCCCAGAGCAGCUUUCAGGUUACUCUCCUUGAAAUCCACCCUGGUCACCUGUUUCCCCAUCCUUCCUUUAUAUAGACACAGCCAUUGAUCACUAUGCUGGAUUCUCUAAAGCUCCAAUUCUAUAAUGAGUCCUGAGGACAAUGAAUUGGAUAUGAUGAAUCCUAAAGAACUACUGCCAGGUGCUGAGAUAUUGUAGCUGGGAAUGAACUGGUCCAGCCAGGGACAUCCUGGGACUACACUACUACACUCUUGGAAAAUUGGACAUGCUUUAUGGUGCAGAUAUUCACUAAGUGGUGGGGUGCAUUGAUACUUUGGCUUUAAAAGUCUGAACAUAUUAAAUAAAUAGAGUUUCCUAGCUUACAUUUUUUUUUGAGUCAAAAGAGUGCUAGAUAAUUACUGAAAAGACAAUGGGGAAAGGUGGAGAUGGGAGAAGGCAAAUGUAAAAAUGACCAUCAAAGAACUCAGUUGAAGAUGGUGUCUAAAAAUACCUUUAUGCCUGGCAUACACCACUUACUUGCGUAUGACUACUCCUGUUUUCCAAACUGCCCACCUCUGUUUGAAAUUAUUUGGGGGCAUAGCUUUGGAGACGUGGUGGAAUAAAAUCUGAGCAGUCACAAGCUAAACCAGCAAAAUGGAGAAGUGACUUUGUUCAUAGCCUCUGGCUUCCAUGGUGAUCCUCUGAGAUUUCCCAUGCUGCUUCCUGCUGAC
rnacentral:lncRNA from 1 species